UGGAUCACACCUAUGACAACUGUCCUCGUUGGAACGAGGAUGCUGGCGCCGGUGGUGCCGGUGGCACUGUUGCCUAGGGAGUUGCCCCUCCGAGGUUCGUUCGGCGCCCGGAUGGGAAUUGUCUUUGGUCCAAGUAUUGGCAGGGUUUGGGACGAUCAGUGCACGAAAGCGAAGUUGCUAGUAUUGCAACCACUAUGGGCCGAGAGUUCACUUUAGAUGCAUGUGCAUCAGACUGCGGUUUGUCUGCCGUAUGUAACGCUUUCUCGUGUACAGCCCGCCCAUUCCUUGAUACCAACAUUGCCGGACAUACAGUCUGGAUGGCUCCGAAUGCAGCUGACUUGCCUGCGUACGUAACGCAUUAUCGUGCCUGUAAGCCGCUGGCUCCACAGUCAACAGCAGCUUGCAUACUAGUUCCUAGUGGAACGGAACCAUCUUUGUUAAAAGGCAUGAAAUUGGUACGACGAUACCCAGUGGGUACCUCUUUGUUUUACGUACCAGAUGUACAAGGAAGCCGCGCGCUUCUUCCUCCUAUUACUGAAGUUAUGGAGGUAUGGUAUGAUGGUCCAGACAGCACGGAAGAAAUCCCUGCCUGUACAGCUAUUGGGAAUGCUGUUCCUCACCUAGCAGUGAAGAUUUCAGGGUCUACGUUUAUGGCCAUGUUGGAUUCGGGAGCUACGCAUAGCUUCGUUUCCGAGGCGCUGGUGCGUCUUCUUCAUCUUCACGUGCUACCCUCAACCUUCACGUACGUACGGUUGGCGGAUGGUGGAAUGUCCCCCAUCGUUGGUCAACCGAUGCUUAAGGUGAGAGUGGGACCGGUGCGGUUGGUAGUACCUGCCCUAGUGAUGAAGGGGUUGCCAACCUCGGCUGAUCUGAUCUUAGGUGCGAAUAUCUUAGAGCAAAGUCGAAUGCGAAUCGAUUUUGACACCAGAGUGGUAACACUCCGGAAGGGUACGCAAGAGUUUCGUCGUACCUAUUUGCACGGAAAGGAGGAUCCUUCCAAAGAUCAGCGCCCAAAACAUCACGUUAUCAUGGCAAUGCAAGCCAGGUCAGAGUGCUUAUCAAUUAAUCGCACACAAGCGAAAAACAUGGUGCGAAAGGGAGCGCACGUGUUAUUAGUCCGUCCGCGGCUAACUGCUGGUGCAGUAGUACGCACAGCUACGACCCGUGGGUCAGGUGGGCCGGACGUACCGACUACCUCAGCCGCUGAAGUAAAAGUGACGGAUCCAGAAAUCGCCGCCUUGUGGAGCGAUAUCAGGAUUCUUGCGACGGNNNNNNNNNNNNNNNNNNNNNNNNNNNNNNNNNNNNNNNNNNNNNNNNNNGUCUCAUGCUACUGCCCUACAGGCUCCACCUUCCUUUGCUGCUGCUGUGGCGGCACCCGCUCCAGUACACGCUGGACCUGUCCAGGCGCCGCCCGUCGCUGCCCCUAGACAGCCGGCCAACGCGGGUGCGGGCCGUGGUGCUGGAGGCCGUGGCCGGGUUGGUGGACGUGGUGGUGGCCCAGCAGGCCGCGUGGCUGGACGCAAUGGUCCAGGUGGGGGUCGCGGACAGGGAGGCCGGGGUAAUGUUAACCCAGGUCGAGGCCGUGGUGCCCGAGGAGGAGCCGCCGCAGGUCGCGGUGCAGAGGCUGCCGGUCACGGUGCGGGCCGAGUGGUCCAGGGUGAAUGGCAACAAGUGAUGGGACGGAAGCGUCAGCGGGUGAACCUGGCGCUGUCCAACAAGCCAGCGCCUGGUGGGGGGUACCUACCAAAAGUGCAGAUUGAACUGGCGAUGUCCCUCCGUGGUUGCUGGGUGUGUCUGGGUUUGGAUCACACCUAUGACAACUGUCCUCGUUGGAACGAGGAUGCUGGCGCCGGUGGUGCCGGUGGCACUGUUGCCUAGGGAGUUGCCCCUCCGAGGUUCGUUCGGCGCCCGGAUGGGAAUUGUCUUUGGUCCAAGUAUUGGCAGGGUUUGGGACGAUCAGUGCACGAAAGCGAAGUUGCUAGUAUUGCAACCACUAUGGGCCGAGAGUUCACUUUAGAUGCAUGUGCAUCAGACUGCGGUUUGUCUGCCGUAUGUAA
rnacentral:lncRNA from 1 species